GAUGAACGCUGGCGGCGUGCCUAACACAUGCAAGUCGAGCGGCAGCGAGGGGUGCUUGCACCCUGUCGGCGAGCGGCGGACGGCUGAGUAACGCGUGGGAACGUGCCCCAAAGUGAGGAAUAACUGCCCGAAAGGGUAGCUAAUACCGCAUAUUAUCUUCGGAUCAAAGGAUUUAUCCGCUUUGGGAGCGGCUCGCGUCGGAUUAGGUAGUUGGUGAGGUAAUGGCUCACCAAGCCGACGAUCCGUAGCUGGUCUGAGAGGAUAACCAGCCAGACUGGAACUGAGACACGGUCCAGACUCCUACGGGAGGCAGCAGUGAGGAAUCUUCCACAAUGGGCGAAAGCCUGAUGGAGCAACGCCGCGUGCAGGACGAAGGCCUUCGGGUUGUAAACUGCUUUUAUAAGUGAGGAAUAUGACGGUAACUUAUGAAUAAGGAUCGGCUAACUACGUG
rnacentral:rRNA from 1 species